CUUGGUGUAUGCACGCGUGUCGCGCCACGCGCCCCCGCAGCGCACGCGCCCCCGCAGCGCACGCGCCCCCGCAGCGCACGCGCCCCCGCAGCGCACGCGCCCCCGCAGCGCACGCGCCCCCGCAGCGCACGCGCCCCCGCAGCGCACGCGCCCCCGCACGCGCAGUGCAAUGGAGCGGAGAGAAAGACCCUUAACUGGGUCUGCUGCAUUAGUAUCUGCUUUCCUGGUGAACUAGGGAACAGACAGGCCACCUCUUAGUGCAAGGCCAGGCUCAUUGCUGCUCAUAUCUGCCUGUUGGAGCACUUUUGUGGCCACUGCAGCUCACCUGAUGGAACGCUUUUGUCACCGAAGUAGGGAGGUCAUCUGAUUUGGCACCUAUAGGAAGCCACCCUGAUUGCAGGAUUUCCAGCCUUCUCCUACAUGUAAAUCAUCAAUAAACAUGACGUGACAAUUAAGACUGAGUGAGAGAUAGCAGAAACAAAUGGCAAAACCAAAUCUCCAAAGGCCUCAGAUAUUGGAAAUGUCUGCUUUAGUUCGAAGAAGAAAUGUAUUCUUCCACUCAUUUUGUAGACCUAGAAAGCAAAAUUGAUCUCUUCGGUAUAUAUUUUUUGACUUAGUUUUUAAAAAAAUACUGAUUUAUAUAUUUGCCUGCGCUGGGUCUUAGUUACAGCACACAGGAUCUUUGAUUUUUAUUGCAGCAUGUGGGUCUUUGUUAUGGCAUGUGGGACCUAGUUCCCUGACCAGGAACUGAACCUGGGCUCCCUGCAUUGUGAGCUUGGAGUCUUGGCCCUGGAGCACCAGCAAAGUCCUUCUUUGGUGUAUUUAAAGAAACUAGAAUAACUGGAAACAUGAACAAGGAAUAAAGGGCUACCCAAAAUGACCAGGUUUCUUCUUUCUCUCCUCUCACUGACCAAUUCGGUCCAGAAGCAUUAGUGGAGGCCAAGCAAUGCAGGUGUUUGUGUUGGAGGAGCUUUUGUGAUCCUAUAUUAUGUGGUGUUAGCUGAGGGCAGGAUGAGAAGAGCUUCCACGUG
ensembl:lncRNA